GCUCAGCCACCCUUUCCGAUAUUUGUUGACAUCGUAACUCCGCAAAAACUGUUGGCCGCUUCUAAACACCAGACAACAGUUCCUACAGAUUUUCGAGAUUCAGAAUAAUCCGACUAUGCUCACUUGAAUCGUUUUCAGAUCUAAGUGGUAACGUGAGUAUAAGGGGACAGGUUAACGCCGCAAAAUCAGUAGUAUUGAAAGAUAUUCAAGGUUUGCGCUCUUCGCUCAUUUCAUUCAGCAGGCAUGUAAUCUAGGAGGGACUACAGGAUCGUACAGCGAGUCUCAACGACAGAAACCCCAGAGCUAAAAGAAUUUCAAAUCCUAUCUAAUCGUUUAAGGAGUAAUCAUUAUCCUGUCGCACCGAGACUCUGGUGAUAGAUGCGUCAGCUCUUCAUCAAAACUAUUGUGAAAAAUGGUUCGAAACGGACGAGGAGGCCAUCUCGUUCCAAGAAGAGUUUAUCCCUCCCAUUGCUUCAGUUUGUACCCGCAGACCAGCUUGUCUCGCAUGCGAAAUACAUAGGAAAAGUUCUUAUGAAUUUUGUGACUCGUAAAUGAUGAACAGUGUCAUAUCUACUUAUCGAAAUGGUUCAUUAGCCGUGGGAUUCUACGAAGGAAACACUCGAACAGGGCGUAGUGGCAAUGUACUCCUAUUCAUGUGAACCCGACCAGAUCAACAUCAAAGGUUACUGUAACGUUGAAGUCGAAGGUCGGGAUCUGGAUGAUCACUUCUACCGAUUUAUCGAUGAACUGCUGUUUUCGUUGUGCGGGGAGCCCCAUCUGUUGGUUCGGAAGGUUCAG